rnacentral:rRNA from 1 species
GACGAACGCUGGCGGCGUGCUUAACACAUGCAAGUCGAACGGAAAGGCCUGCCUUCCCUUGUGGAUUGCGGGUACUCGAGUGGCGAACGGGUGAGUAAAACGUGAGUGAUCUGCCCCCAACUUGGGUAUAAGCUUGGGAUACUAGGUCUAAUUUCCGACAGGAUAGCAGGGUGGUGCCUGUGGUGGCAAACGAUUAUCCAGUGGUUGGGGAUGAGCUCGCGGCGUAUCAGCUUGUUGGUGGGGUAAUGGCCUACCAAGGCGGCGACGGGUAGUCGGCCUGAGGAGGUGGACGGGAGCAGUGGGACUGAGAGGCGGCCUAGGCUCCGACGGAAGGCAGCAGCUGGGACGAGGGGACGAUGUGCGGAAUCCUGAAGCAUCGAGGCAGCGUUGGUGAUGACGGGCUGCGUGUUGUAAACUCCUUUCGGCCACGAGAAAGCCACCUGGUAGGGAAGGUAGUGACGGUAGUGGAAGAAGAAGCACCGGCUAACUACGUG